GUGGGGAAUAUUGCACAAUGGGCGAAAGCCUGAUGCAGCGAUGCCGCGUGAGGGAAGAAGGUUUUCGGAUUGUAAACCUCUGUCCUCGGUGAAGAUAAUGACGGUAACCGAGGAGGAAGCCACGGCUAACUACGUGCCAGCAGCCGCGGUAAUACGUAGGUGGCAAGCGUUGUCCGGAAUUACUGGGUGUAAAGGGAGCGUAGGCGGGAAAAUAAGUUGAAUGUGAAAUCUAUGGGCUUAACCCAUAUCAGCGUUCAAAACUGUUUUUCUUGAAUGAAGUAGAGGUAGGCGGAAUUCCUAGUGUAGCGGUGAAAUGCGUAAAUAUUAGGAGGAACACCAGUGGCGAAGGCGGCCUACUGGGCUUUAAUUGACGCUGAGGCUCGAAAGCGUGGGUAGCAAACAGGAUUAGAAACCCUAGUAGUCC
rnacentral:rRNA from 1 species